GAGCUUUUCGCCAGGUUUGAAGAAGAUCGAGAGACCGAAGUCAAUGGCCUUGAGAGGCGAAGUCUCCUUGUUGUUAGCAAAGAGGAAGUUCUCCGGCUUCAGAUCCCGAUGUAUAACCCCAUGGCGAUGACACAGCUGCACAACCUCGACAAUCGUCCGCAUAACCGCCGCCGCUGCCCGCUCAGAGUAGUGCCCCCGGGCCACGAUCCGAUCAAAC
rnacentral:misc_RNA from 1 species